rnacentral:rRNA from 1 species
CAGCCGCCGCGGUAAUACCGGCGGCCCGAGUGGCGGUCACUAUUAUUGGGCUUAAAGCGUCCGUAGCCGGGUUGGGAAGUCCUCCGGGAAAUCUGGCCGCUUAAAGGUCAGAAUGCCGGAGGAUACUCCCAGCCUAGGGAGCGGGAGAGGCCGAGGGGAUUCCCGGGGUAGGGGUGAAAUCCUAUAAUCCCGGGAGGACCACCUGUGGCGAAGGCGCUCGGCUGGAACGCGUCCGACGGUGAGGGACGAAGGCCAGGGGAGCAAACCGGAUUAGAUACCCGGGUAGUCCUGGCUGUAAACGAUGCGGACUUUGUGUCGGACAAGCUAUGAGCUUGUCCGGUGCCGGAGGGAAACCGUUAAGUCCGCCGCCUGGGGAGUACGGCCGCAAGGCUGAAACUUAAAGGAAUUGGCGGG